AUUGAACGCUGGCGGCAUGCCUUACACAUGCAAGUCGAACGGUAACAGGUCUUCGGAUGCUGACGAGUGGCGAACGGGUGAGUAAUACAUCGGAACGUGCCCGAUCGUGGGGGAUAACGAAGCGAAAGCUUUGCUAAUACCGCAUACGAUCUACGGAUGAAAGCAGGGGACCGCAAGGGCUUGCGCGAACGGAGCGGCCGAUGGCAGAUUAGGUAGUUGGUGGGAUAAAAGCUUACCAAGCCGACGAUCUGUAGCUGGUCUGAGAGGACGACCAGCCACACUGGGACUGAGACACGGCCCAGACUCCUACGGGAGGCAGCAGUGGGGAAUUUUGGACAAUGGGCGAAAGCCUGAUCCAGCCAUGCCGCGUGCAGGAUGAAGGCCUUCGGGUUGUAAACUGCUUUUGUACGGAACGAAAAGACUCUGGUUAAUACCUGGGGUCCAUGACGGUACCGUAAGAAUAAGCACCGGCUAACUACGUG
rnacentral:rRNA from 1 species